GACGAACGCUGGCGGCGUGCUUAACACAUGCAAGUCGAACGGUAAGGCUCCAGCUUGCUGGGGUACACGAGUGGCGAACGGGUGAGUAACACGUGGGUGACCUGCCCUGCACUUCGGGAUAAGCCUGGGAAACUGGGUCUAAUACCGGAUAGGACCAUGGUGUGGAUACUGUGGUGGAAAGUUUUUUCGGUGUGGGAUGGGCCCGCGGCCUAUCAGCUUGUUGGUGGGGUAAUGGCCUACCAAGGCGGCGACGGGUAGCCGGCCUGAGAGGGUGGACGGCCACAUUGGGACUGAGACACGGCCCAGACUCCUACGGGAGGCAGCAGUGGGGAAUAUUGCACAAUGGGCGGAAGCCUGAUGCAGCGACGCCGCGUGGGGGAUGACGGCCUUCGGGUUGUAAACUCCUUUCGCCAGCGACGAAGGGUUUCUGACGGUAGAUGGAGAAGAAGCACCGGCUAACUACGUG
rnacentral:rRNA from 1 species